rnacentral:rRNA from 1 species
GUUGAACGCUGGCGGCAUGCUUUACACAUGCAAGUCGAACGGCAGCGCGGGCUUCGGCCUGGCGGCGAGUGGCGAACGGGUGAGUAAUGCAUCGGAACGUGCCCAGUAGUGGGGGAUAGCCCGGCGAAAGCCGGAUUAAUACCGCAUACGACCUGAGGGUGAAAGCGGGGGACCGAAAGGCCUCGCGCUAUUGGAGCGGCCGAUGUCGGAUUAGCUAGUUGGUGGGGUAAAGGCUUACCAAGGCGACGAUCCGUAGCUGGUCUGAGAGGACGACCAGCCACACUGGGACUGAGACACGGCCCAGACUCCUACGGGAGGCAGCAGUGGGGAAUUUUGGACAAUGGGGGCAACCCUGAUCCAGCCAUGCCGCGUGCGAGAAGAAGGCCUUCGGGUUGUAAACCGCUUUUGUUCGGGAAGAAAUCCUCUGGGCUAAUACCCCGGGGGGAUGACGGUACCGGAAGAAUAAGCACCGGCUAACUACGUG